UGCAACUCGGUGGUGGGCGUCCUCAUCCUCAUACUCUUCGUCAUCCUCUACAAGGCCUGCAAGGUGCCUGCACACCCGGACAAAAUGCCGGUUUUCACAGCAAUGCCGCAGCCGAGGAAGGAGCAGAGCCCCGUCCAAUCUGUGAAUGUCAGAGGAGCUCAGGCUAAGCUAACUGUGGGAAGAGUUGUGGCAAGACCAAUAGCAACAACAAGCACGUCCAAUCCUCUUAUCUCCGCUGGGCGUCUCUGGGACUGUCCAUCUGUCAGUCUCUUUGUUUUGCUCCACACAGACAGACUAUGAUCUCUUCCUCUGCUCCUUACUUUUUCAUCCCGUCAAGUGAGACGGCUGAAAGGAUGUGGAGGAGAAAGAGGAAAAAAAACCAGCUGAAUUGGAAUGGAAGCGUUAGGGGCGACAGGGUCGACUGAGUCACAAUGAGGUGUCAGACGAGGCAACGUGUACCUGUGUAGCUUAAGAGCAUCCUGUUUUUUGCCUGAGCGAUGCAGGGAGGAGAGAGAUGCUGCCGGAGGAAGUGUGGGUGUGAUAAAGGGCAGAUAUUUGGUGGGAUGAUAAAGUGCAGGGGAAGAACCACUUUGAUGUGUUGUUUACAGAAACGGAAGCUCGCGGCCACUAUUUGACAGUCUUCCUUUUUGACGUGUCUGCUUCCACCGAUUCCACCGACUCCCACAGGAUUAAAAGUAGCAGUGUAAAUGUUCCUUGUGUGUCCCGGUGUGCCUCUCUUUCAGUCUGUGAACUACUCCAGAGACAAAAUAGUGUAUUUAUUGAAAGCUUCCCCCAGAAAUGACUGGAAACACACAGUCAAACAGGUACAGGUGAAAAUUGUAUUCGAGUAAGGCAUCUGGUAACUGUGGGAUAUCAAGAUUGUUUGAAGGGUUUAAAAGAGAUGAUAUGAGCCAGACUGACAAAACAGUCAGUCAAUCAUUACCUCAUCUCCACAUCAUGGGAAUGAAAACUGCAGCAUAUGUGUUUUUGUAUUGUAAACAUAUUUUAUUGUGAAAGGGCUUUAAAAACGUUUCUUAAUUUGCUUGUUUGUUUUUUCAGAUGAAAUCUAAUCUCAGGUAUUAGUUUAUUUUCGCCCAAUGAAAUAAGAACAUGUUGAUUUUAUUUUCCUUGUAGCACUUUGUGCUCUGCUUCAUUUGAUGCGACAUUUCUGAGAAAUGCACUGGGGUCAGAACUGUGGAUUUGAUUGAUUGAUUGAUCUGUCAAAAUAAAAUCCAUUGAUGAAA